GGAAUAUUGGACAAUGGGGGAAACCCUGAUCCAGCGACGCCGCGUGUGUGAAGAAGUCCUGCGGGUUGUAAAGCACUUUCGAUGGGAACGACAUGUGCCGGGCUAAUACCCCGGCAAGCUGACGUUACUCAAUGAAGAAGCCCCGGCUAACUCUGUGCCAGCAGCCGCGGUAAUACAGAGGGUGCGAGCGUUAAUCGGAAUUAAUUGGCGUAAAGCGCACGUAGGUGGCGACGUAUGUCGGGUGUGAAAGCCCCGGGCUCAACCUGGGAAUUGCAUUCGAAACUGCGUUGCUGGAGUACGGAAGAGGAAGGCGGAAUUCCCGGUGUAGCGGUGAAAUGCGUAGAUAUCGGGAGGAACAUCAGUGGCGAAGGCGGCCUUCUGGUCCAGUACUGACGCUCAAGUGCGAAAGCGUGGGUAGCAAAC
rnacentral:rRNA from 1 species